AUACGUAGGGAGCAAGCGUUGUCCGGAAUUACUGGGCGUAAAGGGCGCGUAGGCGGGAAUUUAAGUUAGAUGUGAAAACUAAGGGCUCAACCUUUAGACUGCAUUUAAAACUGGAUUUCUUGAGGGCAGGAGAGGAAAGUGGAAUUCCUAGUGUAGCGGUGAAAUGCGUAGAUAUUAGGAGGAACAUCAGUGGCGAAGGGGACUUUCUGGACUGUACCUGACGUGGUGGCGCGAAAGCGUGGGAAGCAAACGGGUUUAGAUCCCCCGGUAGUCCACGCCGUAAACGAUGAAUACUAGGUGUAGGAGGUAUCGACCCCUUCUGUGCCGCAGCUAACGCAAUAAGUAUUCCGCCUGGGGACUACGGUCGCAAGACUAAAACUCAAAGGAAUUGACGGGG
rnacentral:rRNA from 1 species